GUGGGGAAUAUUGGACAAUGGGCGAAAGCCUGAUCCAGCCAUGCCGCGUGUGUGAAGAAGGUCUUCGGAUUGUAAAGCACUUUAAGUUGGGAGGAAGGGUAGUAACCUAAUACGUUGCUACUUUGACGUUACCGACAGAAUAAGCACCGGCUAACUUCGUGCCAGCAGCCGCGGUAAUACGAAGGGUGCAAGCGUUAAUCGGAAUUACUGGGCGUAAAGCGCGCGUAGGUGGUUCAGUAAGUUGGAAGUGAAAUCCCCGGGCUCAACCUGGGAACUGCUUUCAAAACUGCUGAGCUAGAGUACGGAAGAGGGUGGUGGAAUUUCCUGUGUAGCGGUGAAAUGCGUAGAUAUAGGAAGGAACACCAGUGGCGAAGGCGACUACCUGGACUGAUACUGACACUGAGGUGCGAAAGCGUGGGGAGCAAACAGGAUUAGAAACCCCGGUAGUCC
rnacentral:rRNA from 1 species